rnacentral:lncRNA from 10 species
GCUCCUUCUUGGCGCUGAGAACGCCAAACUCGAUGGGUUUAAUAUCGAUGAGUGGAGAGCUGGGACGUCUUGACUCAAGACCUGAGAGCCACCAGAAAUAACAAUGAAGACAGCCACAUACGGGGCAGACCUGGGCCACUUUGCAGAAUGCAAGUCUAGUGCUGCCACAUGGAGAAAACAAGCUUAACAAUGAGGCCAAUACAGAAGAAACAGAGAAAGAAAGAGAGAGAGAGAAAGGCUCUGAUGACAUGAUUUCUGCUCCUGGAUCCAGCUAUGCCUGAAGCCAUCAUUCCUGAUUCUUUCAUAACAAGGUCUUAUGCAGGACUGUCAUAUAUGGAAUGCAGGGUGUAAAUGCACAACUCUAGGGGGCAACCUGACUUACAUACCUGCCUUACCUCCUACGUGAGACUGAAAAUUCCCUGAGCAUGGUCACAGGACCCUAUCUAGCCCUGUGUAUACCACAGCGCCUGGCACACUGUACUUAAGAAAUAACUACAAAAGGAACUGAGAUUAACUUUUCAACUGAUGAUUGGCACUUUCAGGAUGCAAGUUCUGCCUGCAGGAUAGUCUGUCAGUCAACAACUUUUUCUGAGUGAACAAGGCAGGCAAAACUCCCUGCCCACAUGGAGAUAGCAUUCUUGUGAGCAUAGCUUUAAGGACAUCAGAUGGACUGAACUAACUUCUGCUACAUAGACCAGUAGAAUCCUUUUUUUUUUUUUUUUUUUUUUGAAGUCUUGCUCUGUUGCGCAAGCUGGACUGCAGUGGCGUGAUUAUAGCUCACUGCAGCCCUGACUUUCCAGGCUCAAACGAUCCUUCCAACUCAGCCUCCCGAAGAACUGGAACUCUAGGCACCAACGUGCCCAGCUAAUUUUUUAAAUUUUUGUAGAGAUAGGGGUCUCAUCGUGUUGCCCAGGCUGGUCUUAAACUCCUGACCUCAAGCAGUCCUCCCACCUCAGUCUCCCAAAGCACUGGGAUUACAGAUGAGAGCCACGGCACCCGGCUGUGAAUUAUCUCUUGAUUAAUGAGUUGCUUUCACCAAAAAUCUCAACUCUACACACACCUGUAGGAUUCAGGCCACAACUUAUGAAUAAUGAAUAAUGGAAGAGUUCUUUAACAUUGUGUUUGUAUCAGUUUAAUUAAUCUCUAUUGAAACCUAAUACUGACAGAAAUAAAUGCUUAUAAAACUUUUGCUCUGUGCUAAGCAUAUUAUAUGCAUAUCUCAUUUAUUUAUUUAUGUAUUUAUUUUUGAGACAGGGUCUCAUUCUUUCCCAGGCUGGAGUGCAGUGGCGCAAUCACAGCUCACUGUAGCCUCAACCUCCUAGGCUCAAGCGAUCCUCCCACCUCAGCCUCCAGAGUAGCUGGGGCCACAGGCACACAUCACCACAUCCGGCUAAUUUUUUGAUGUUUUGUCGAGAUGGGGCAUGGGGGGGGUCUCACUAUGUGGCCCAGGCUGGUCUCGAAAUCCUGAGCUCAAGUGAUCCGCCUGCCCUCAGCCUCCCAAAAUGCUGGGAUUACAGGCAUGAGCCACUGCGCCCAGCCAGAGUUACUUACAUGUAUGAUCACCAACAAAGUAUCAAGCAUUCCUAACUACUUUUCCACAUUCCAAAUUCAUUGACUCCCUUCGACAACUCUGAGAGAAAUACUAUUCUUUUUAUCAUCCCAUUUCACAGAUGGGAAAUCAAGGCACACAGAGAUCAAACCACUUGCCCAAGGUCACAGAACUCGAAAUAGUAGUUGAGACCACAGAGCCUGGAUACAGAACCAUUUUGCUAUGGAAAUAUUUGAUACUUGCUUCUAAGAAGAGAAAAUGAGAGGCCUGAGGCAUGAGCCCCCAGCUUGGAGGGAAAGAUGGGACACCAGAGACUUUUGGAAUCUCAGGCCAAGGACUGAGCUGAAACAGCGCUGCCUCCUUCCACUCUGCCAGGCUCCAGCUGUGGGUCCUGGCCGCUGUCUGUCUCCCUCUCUGGGCCUGCCCCUCCGAAGCAUGACAAGCUCACUUGAUGACUUCUUGAUCCUUCCCAGCCCCGACCUUCUUGACUGUACCCAGGCUCUCUGACCACGUCCCUCUCUCAGUCACGGAGAGGUGGACCAGGCACGUGGCUGAGAAGCUUCAAAACUGCGUUCCCAAAAUAUCUGAGCGACUGGCAGAUGGAGAUGUUGUAUGCAGGCGCGGGAGGAGAGCAAAUUAGAAAUAAAACGAAAGAUGCCAGAGAGAACAUAAACAGCGUUGGAGGACAGGAUGGAGCCUGGAGGUGCUUUUCUGCUUCCCUGUUUCUGAAGUUCUUGUUCGGAGCAGCAAAAAGGCACUUGUUUGUUCAUUCCGUCUACCCAUCCAUGCAAUGGAUAUUUAUCGAGCUUUUACUAUGUGCAGGCCCUGGGCUAAGUGCUAGGGAAUCUUGUCACGCUGACUUGGAUGGAAACCCUCAGAAUGCGGUCAGCCCCUGAAGAAUAUAGAGGCUCGGCUCACAGAUCUCCUUUUCUGCUCGGAACCACGCUCCACGUGACUAAAAACGCCCACACGCUUAGCAUUACACGGUUCGUAUCUCAGAAGGCCCGAUGUGCCACUAGGUGAACUAAAACCACACCACCAGCUGGUCUCGCCAGCUUGCCGAACAAAAUGAGGGGUACAGAACAUAUCCCCAGUCUGCAGCAAAGUUGUCCCUGGAAACUCAGCCUGCUUCUCUUUCAUGCCCCCAAAUCCUCCCUCCCGUGGCCCAGACCCCCAACCCGCCUUCUCAUUAAAAAGGAAAAGUCUUGAAAUUGAUUUCAGAGAAGUUCAGAGCAGUUUUACUUACAGCCAGGGAGGGGUCUGAGCAGGGAAAGGUCCCAGAAUUUCAACUUCAUCCUCAC